GGAGUUAGCCGGUGCUUCUUCUGUGAGUGAUGUCCUUCCUGCCGGUUAUUGACCCGCAGGCCUUCUUCCUCACUGAAAGUGCUUUACAACCCGAAGGCCUUCUUCACACACGCGGCAUGGCUGGAUCAGGGUUGCCCCCAUUGUCCAAUAUUCCCCACUGCUGCCUCCCGUAGGAGUCUGGGCCGUGUCUCAGUCCCAGUGUGGCUGAUCAUCCUCUCAGACCAGCUACGGAUCGUCGCCUUGGUGAGCCGUUACCUCACCAACCAGCUAAUCCGACAUAGGCUCAUCCGAUAGCGCGAGGCCCGAAGGUCCCCCGCUUUCCCCCGUAGGGCGUAUGCGGUAUUAGCCUGGGUUUCCCCAGGUUAUCCCCCACUACCGGGCAGAUUCCUAUGCAUUACUCACCCGUCCGCCGCUCGCCACCAGGGAGCAAGCUCCCCGUGCUGCCGCUCGACUUGCAUGUGUUAGGACUGCCGCCAGCGUUCAAUCUGAGCCAGGAUCAAACUCUGA
rnacentral:rRNA from 1 species